rnacentral:rRNA from 1 species
AUUGAACGCUGGCGGCAGGCCUAACACAUGCAAGUCGAGCGAGCGGCGGACGGGUGAGUAAUGUAUGGGGACUGCCCGAUCGAGGGGGAUAACUACUGGAAACGGUGGCUAAUACCGCAUACUAUCGGAUAACCCAUAUGGGUUUAGCUAGUAGGUGGGGUAAAGGCUCACCUAGGCGACGCUCUCUAGCUGGUCUGAGCGGAGGAUCAGCCACACGGGGAUGGAGACACGGCCCAGCCUCCUAAGGAGGAAGCAGUGGGGAAGAUUGCACAAUGGGCGCAAGCCUGAGGCAGCCAGGCCGCGGGUAGGAAGAAGGCCUUAGGGUUGUAAAGUACUUUCAGCGGGGAGGCGUUACCCGCAGAAGAAGCACCGGCUAACUCCGUGCCAGCAGCCGCGGUAAUUC